GAUGAGUGCCAUCGUUACGAUAUUAUUAUAUUUAUUCCUAUAAGCCACCUAAUAAGUAUGCAACCAGUUAUGCGUUCGUGCUUAGAACGGGUUACCUAGAUUUGUGACCAAAUAUAAUAGAAGGUUGGUACUACGCUUGGGGAAUUCUGGUCUUAGCUUGUGGCUGUACGGCUUCCGACGGAGGGGCAUGUCAUAUCGCCCAUCGGAGAGGAUUGUCACUUCAAUUUUCAAUCUGGUUGGAUGAAUAAGUAAAUUUUUCCGUGGUCACUGUUUAAAGAAUACAAUAUUUAGUUAAAAUAUUCAUUUAUUAUAAGAUUGGUUUAUUUUGGAAGGAGCUAUUUUUUGUUUUGGAUUUGUGCGGUGAGAGGAAGAGUUUUAUUUCCAAGUUUCCUUUUGGAAAACAGUGGCCACGGAAGAAAAUAAGAAGAUGGAAAAUUAAGUCAAUCAUACUUUAAUUUGUUUUUUUUUGGAAUACAUAAUCAUUUUGGGGAUAUUUUGGAUGGAAUGUGGAUGUUUUGUUUGGUUUUUGUGGAAUAAAAGUUGAGUUUUCCGAUACUGGGCAGCUACCUGCUUGCCGUACCUUCCUGUUGGUGUGGAGUACCUCCCUAGGGUUGGGAACCAGAGGAUACCUUAUUUGGCUCUCCCCUCAUCAUCUUCACCGAAGGUUGGAAGAAGCAAUCCGCCUACUUUUUGUAGGGACAGGUUUUUAUAUAACUAAAUUUGCAUGUCAAUUUGUUUUAAUAAUAACUUCCAAUUUUACUAUUUUUUUUUCUCUUCGUAUCAAUAACUUUCAAAUCACUCUAAUAAUAAUAUACCCUCAUUGUUUUUUCUUAACCAUAAUUAACAUAAUAUUCAAUAUUUUUCAACAAUUUUUAUUAUAUUUCACCCUUAUUUAAUUUAUUUAAAAUAGCCUGGGAUUUAUAAACCAUAUGUAAGAUAAUGUGCACAGUAUCUAGGUCAUAUCCUAUUUAAUAAUAUUUAUUCCAGUUGUCGGAUGUUGUCACCUCCGAUUAGAUACGGUAUUGUCAACCAAUAUUGUAACCCUCAUUAAUAAUAAGUUGUUAAGGUAAAUACCUAUUCAUACUAAAUUCAUUACAUAUUUUUUUUUCUACUGUAAAACCUGCAUUAUCGACAGCAGUGUACUAGCCUAGUACGUCGGAUAAUUAGCUAGUGUAAAAAUUGUAUAUAGGGUAUAUAGGUUUUUUUUAUUAAAUGUGGUUGUACAUA
rnacentral:lncRNA from 1 species